rnacentral:lncRNA from 1 species
ACCUGCGACCGCGCGUGUACAGAGGUUCCGGCGGGUGGCUCCUCUCCGGCUUGAAACCUUAGAGCGGCUUCUUCUUGUCUGCGGCUUCUGACCUGCGAGCAAAGGAAAAAGCAACGAGAUGACAGACCGCUACACCAUCCACAGCCAGUUAGAGCAUCUGCAGUCCAAAUACAUCGGCACCGGCCACGCCGACACCACCAAAUGGGAGUGGCUGGUGAACCAGCACCGCGACUCCUAUUGCUCCUACAUGGGCCACUUCGACCUUCUCAACUACUUUGCCAUUGCCGAGAAUGAGAGCAAAGCGCGAGUCCGCUUCAACUUGAUGGAGAAGAUGCUGCAGCCUUGCGGCCCGCCCGCCGACAAACCGGAGGAGAACUGAGACCUCACCGUCUCACCGCUAGGUCCUUACCCGGGGCGUUCCGUCCGACCUGCCUUCCUGUGGAACAAAGAGUUGGGAGACCCGUCAUAACCCCUGAGAAACUGAACAGUGGAGAGAUCCUAAAGUCUGCAGACGUUAGAGGAGAUAUGGCUGGAGUGAGAUGGGAUUAAGAGGCUCGUUUUUGGCUAGUUGACUGUCUUCGUUGCUUUUUCUAUAAAGUUUAGAAAUGUUUCGGUCUCUUGGUGUGGACUACUUGUGUUCUGGUGGAGGGGCCAAGGAGGGCUCUGGGACUGUGGUUUGCCGGGUGGCGGGGGGUAUAAAGAAGGGGAGGGUUGGGGAGGGGUUCAGCAGUAGCACAGGGCCAAAGUUCGUUGCCAGACACUUAAAUACGCUCUUUAUAAUAUUCUCCAACCCUGACUUCUCCCAGGAACUUUUCUCAGGCCCUUAACACAUUCACUAUUGAGGUUUGUGAUCACUGUGUCCUUUUUCUUUCAUACAAAAAAAAAAAUCUUGACUCGCUUUGCCUUCUCUCUGUAGAUUACACCUCUUUCUUUUGGAAAUACGUGGACAUAUCUUGAGUAUUGACAAACUGUCAAAUUAGUUCUUAAAUUCAUUCAGCAAAUACGUGUUGAAUUUUAUGUGGCAGGCUUUAAGGACCUAUAUUACACUGGUUGGGGGAGCAGAAGACUACAAAAUUUGCAGACAUAAGCAAGCACAUGUUGGAGGGUGCUGUGGAGAAUGAGAGUAGCAGUAGGGUUGCAGUUUUAAGUAGAAUGCUCAGGAUUUCCCAUCCUGGCUCAGCGGAAACAAUCUGACUAGGAUCCAUGAGGAUGCAGGUUUGGUCCCUGACCUCACUGAGUGGGUUAAGGAUCCGGCUUUGCUGUGAGCUGCAAUGUAGCUGGCAGAUACGGCAGGGAUCCUGUGUUGCUGUGGCAUAGGCCAACGGCUACAGCUCUGAUACAGUCCCUAGCCUGAGAACCUCCACAUGCCACUGGUGUGGCCCUAAAAAAAAAAAUCCGUAAGUAAGAUGUUCAUGUUAAACUAUUGAGAAGGUAACAUUUAAGCAGAGACUUUAAGGAAAUGAGGGAAAUACCAUGCGGAAAACUGGGGAAAUCGUUUCCCAGGUAGAGGGAACUGCCAGUGCAAUGUUCCUACUACAGGAAUUGUGGCAGGCUUACUGGAAAAACAGCAAACAAACAAGUAUGAUUGAAGGGAGUGAGUGAGGGAAAGAGUAGAGGGAUAGAUUAUGAAGGGAAACAGAUAAAAGUAGAGCCUGAUUGGCCAGUGUAAGGACUUGUGGCUUUUACCCUAAAGAGGUGGGGAGCCAUUGGAAGAUUAUUAAGUGAUACAGUCUGACAUAUUUUAGAUCAGUGGGUCUCAAAUGUUUUGGCCUUUGGACAUAAUUACGUUCUUAGAAAUUCUUCAAGACCCCCACAGAGCUUUUGUUUUUGAGAGUAAUAGCUGUUGAUAGUCACCAAGCUAGAAAUUAAAACAGAAAAUUUAAAAUACCUAGUAAUUCAUUUUAAAAUAGCAAUAGUAUAACUAUUACGUGUUAACAACAUUUUUGUGAAAAAUAACUACUUUCCAAAACAAUUUAGUGAGAAGAAUGGUGCCUUAAAAAAACAAAACAAAACAGGCGUUCCCAGUGCUGGCCUUGGUAACGAACCUGACUAGUAUCCAUGAGGACUCUGGUUCAAUCCCUGGCCUCUCUCAGUGGAUUAGAGUUCUGGCAUUGCUGUGAGCUGUGGUGUAAGUUGCAGCCAUGAUUGGAGUCUGCGUUGCUGCGACUGGCAUAGGCCAGCAGUUGCAACUUGGACUUGACCCCUACCUGGGGAACUUCCGUAUGCUAUAUGUGCAGACCUGGAAAAAAAAAAAAAAAAAAAGCAGUUUUGCAGAUGUCUUCAAUGUCUGGCUUAAUAUAAGACAGCUGAAUUCUUUUUUUUUUUUUUUUUUUUUUUUUUUUUGUCUUUUUAGGGCUGAAACUGACAUAUGUGUAUGAAAGCUCCCAGGCUAGGGUUCAAAUGGGAGCUGCAGCUGCUGGCCACAGCCACAGCCACAGCAACGCCAGAUCCAAGCUGCAUCUUCAACCUACACCACAGCUCACCGCAACACCUGAUUCUUAACCCACUGAGCAAGGCCAAGGAUCAGAACCCGCCUUUUCAUGGGUACUAGUAGGUUUAUUGCCACUGAGCCACAAAGGAACUCCAAGACAGCUGGAUUCUUGUAUCUUCUACAUUCAAACUAUUGGGAUAUGAUUUUGGUUGAAGUAUGAAAAAUCCAUGUCACAUAAAUAUAUAGUAAAGGAGAAAUAUUUUAAUAGCCUUUCCAAGUAGUUAUGGAUAUUCUUUUUUUUUUUUUUUUGCAACACCCACAGCAUGUGGAAGUUCCCAGGCCAGGGAUUGAACCUGCACUACAGCAGUGACCAGAGCCACUGCAGUGAAAAGGGAACUCCCAAUUAUGGAUACUCUUUGAUACAUUAGCAAAGCCCAACAAGUGGUAAUUUCUUAGAAGUUAGUUACAACAUGGAAUCUGAUCAAUGAACUUUUCAUUGUCUAGUACAUUAAAAUUCAUUAAUCUGGAGUUCCUGCUGUGGUGCAGUGGGUUAAUGAUCUGGCUUUUCUCUGUGGAGGUGCUGGUUCAAUCCCUGACCUGGUGCAGUGGGUUUAGGAUCCAGUGUUGCUGUGAGUUGCAGCUCUGGCUUGGAUUCCAUCCCCGGCCCAGGAACUUCCAUAUGCUGUGGGUUUGGCCAUUUAAAAAAAACAAAAUUUUUUUCUCUAAUCUGUCUUUUGCUCAUACAUGAUUUUGUAACAUCUUACAUUGGUCAGUUGGAAAGUUUUGGCUGAGUUAUACGUGCUGCAUAAAUGUUGACACAUUUCAUUGUAUAUAUCAAAAUAUGUACUUUGUGCAUAUUAUUAGUACUUUGUGCAUAUUAUUAGUAUACCACUGAUCUCAUCAGGGAAGUCAUACAGUAUUAGAAAGCUGAAAAACUAACAGUGAUGCUAUAAGUUUUCCACAAAUUUCAGUUUUUGCUUGAUAGCUUAAAUUUGGCCACUGGUAGCAAAUACUGUCUGUUGCUUUCCUUGAAGUGACAGGCUAACUUAGUUCAUUUUCAAGAAAAUAUCUGUCAAAUACCCAGUUCUAAAUAACCAUAGUUGUUGAUCUUUCACUAAAGGUGAUCUUCCUUGAGAAAAAAAAGCAGCCAGUUCAGUUUGCAACUCAAAUAAUAGCAAGUGCUUUUUCUUGAGAAAACCAUUGUGUUUUGAUAACAGAAAUGCUUUAUGCAUACUACCAAUUUUGCCACAUGAAGAAUGUGUUUUAAAAGAUGUAUCCUCAUAGGCUAAGAUUUCAUAAAAUCAGUACUUUAUAUUGUUUUGUCAAGGACAUUCUUAGGUGAAACUGAGUUGAUAUUUUUGGUUUUGUUUUGGUUUCAUUGAGAAUACAUGGCAGUGGAGAAUCCAAUGACUAUUGUUAGUUUGGUGCCUGUGUGUGUGUGUGUGUGUGUGUGUGUGUGUAUUUUUUUUUUUCUCCUCUUUUCUGGUUGCCCUGAGGUAUAUGGAGUUCCCAGGCUAGGGAUCAGAUCCGAGCUGGAGUCAUGACUUAAGCUGGAUCCUUAACCAACUGUGCAGGGCCAGGGAUCAAACCUUCGUCCCAGUGCUUCCAAGACGCUGCCAAUCCUGUUGUACCACAGUGGGAACUCCCGGUGCCAUUAUCUUGACUGAUGCUAAGUGCUAGUGCUUUUACUCACUAUUGCUUUUGUACCAUCUAGACAAAUAUUAACAGUGCAAAUGGCAAAUAAAAUCUUAGUAUUAUUAGGAAAAUAGUAUUGACUUCACAGAUGUUCUGAAAUUCCUUUCCCACCAUUUUCACUUGAAAAAAAAAACUGAUAUAUUAAACUGUGAUUAUUUAGACU